rfam:Otolemur garnettii contig172189, whole genome shotgun sequence.
AAAUCGGAGAUUUUUCAGAUCAUUCUGCAAUGCAGAGAAGAUUAACAUGGCCCCUGAGCAAGGAUGACACACAAAUUUGUAAAAACAAAGAAACUUCCCAUUUUU